rnacentral:rRNA from 1 species
GUGGGGAAUCUUGCGCAAUGGGCGAAAGCCUGACGCAGCCAUGCCGCGUGAAUGAUGAAGGUCUUAGGAUUGUAAAAUUCUUUCACCGGGGACGAUAAUGACGGUACCCGGAGAAGAAGCUCCGGCUAACUUCGUGCCAGCAGCCGCGGUAAUACGAAGGGGGCUAGCGUUGCUCGGAAUUACUGGGCGUAAAGGGCGCGUAGGCGGACAGCUUAGUCAGAGGUGAAAGCCCAGGGCUCAACCUUGUAAUUGCCUUUGAUACUGGCUGUCUUGAGUUUGGGAGAGGGGAGUGGAACUCCGAGUGUAGAGGUGAAAUUCGUAGAUAUUCGGAAGAACACCAGUGGCGAAGGCGACUCACUGGCCCAAUACUGACGCUGAGGCGCGAAAGCGUGGGGAGCAAACAGGAUUAGAUACCCGGGUAGUCC